AGGCAGUUUGCAGUUAUGAUUGAAAUCAAAACGUAAACGUAAACUGAAAUGUAAUGAUCGUACGAAAAAGCCGAUUUACGUCUAAACGUAGAUUCGGAAAGCUCUGAACUUAGAAACUCGUUCGUAAAAGCACAGAAGGCAGUAGCUAUUUAGGAGGUUUGCAGUAAAGAUAAAAUGCUCAAAGUAAAUGCAAACCGAGAUUUAGAGUGGUUCGGUCAAUCUUGACCUACUCCACUUUUGGCUUCCUCCACCGAC
rnacentral:lncRNA from 1 species